rnacentral:lncRNA from 1 species
CUGGGAGGAAGGCAUUAUUACCUCAAUUUUACAGAUUUGGAGGUUGAGUCUUAGGAAAGGCCACCCUUUGAGACCUGGUGAAAGAUAAUCCGGAGCAAUUAUGUUCUGCAGUAAAAAGAAAUCACUCGAAGCAGAACGGAUAGUAAAAGCCAAUGACCGUGAAUAUAAUGAGAAGUUCCAGUACACAAUUCUUAACCCACAGAGCGAGGCCAGGGAUUGAACCCACAACCUCAUGGUUCCUAGUUGGAUUCGUUUCCACUGUGCCACGAUGGGAGCUCCAGACUCUGGGCUUUUAUUUUUUUUAUUUUUUAUUUUUAUUUAUUUAUUUAUUUAUUUAUUUAUUUUUUUUGUCUUUUGUCUUUGUUGUUGUUGUUGUUGUUAUUGUUGCUAUUCCUUGGGCCGCUCCCGCGGCAUAUGGAGGUUCCCAGGCUAGGGGUCCAAUCGGAGCUGUAGCCACCGGCCUACGCCAGAGCCACAGCAACGUGGGAUCCGAGCCGCGUCUGCAACCUACACCACAGCUCACGGCAACGCCGGAUCGUUAACCCACUGAGCAAGGGAAGGGACCGAACCCGCAACCUCAUGGUUCCUAGUCGGAUUCGUUAACCACUGCGCCACGACGGGAACUCCUUUUAUUUUAUUUUAUUUUAUUUUUUUUUGUCUUAAACUUUUGAUAUAGAUUUUUCUCUUAAACCUCACAUGGCUGUGGGCAGAUAUGCACAAUAAAUUUUAGAUUCUCUAUAAAGUACU